rnacentral:lncRNA from 1 species
CUCAGCGAUCAUUUUACAGGUGAGGAAAAUGAAGCCCAGGGAGCUUAAUCGAGUAGUCCAAGGUUAGUCCAAGGUCACGGAGCUCGAUCCUGGGAGAGCUGGGACUGAACCGAACUCUCCUGGAUCCCAGAUGCAGCAGGAUGGAAAGGAACAUCAAGGUGGACAGCAACAUUAAAGGCGUGGCUCCUGCAUCUUCUAAGCAGCCCUCCUGCGGUGUUGUGGGCUACAGCUUUUCCAGCUGUGCUGUCUUUACAGAGCUGGGGUUCCAUCCUGGCCUCCGAGACCCAGCACCUGUGUGUUGAAGGGGGCCACGCGACUCAACGCUGUGGGCUUUUCCAGAACGAAGACCGUUGUGGUAGACACUGACAAGCCACAGAGAUAAAAGAAGAUUAGAGCGGUGAGUCGUGAUCUCCACCAAUGACCCCAGCACCUACCAGGGCCUUGACUUGAUCCUUCCAAAGGCAGCAUCCCCACGGGGAAUCUGCUCCCAGAAAAGUCUUCUUGGCCCUUGAGCAUCUAGGAAACUUUUCCUGUUGAUGGCUCACCAAAUUUGAUCUGGCAUGUCAACUCCCAUUUGGAUGUUACAGUCUACGCAAAGUUGAGAAUGUUCACCUCCAUGACUGCCUUCACCAAUGACAUCACACAUCAGAAAAUGAGAGUCAAGAGUCUAGCCCCUGGACAGAGAGCAUUGCCUGACACAGGCUGCAACUGUAGCAGGAACACUCCAUAUAUACUAUUGGAUUCUUCUGUUGGGAGGCAUAUAAUGUCUGAUUUCCUCUUCUUGUGAUGUUAUCAGCCCUUGAUGUUUAAUGCCAAGAUCUAUUAGUUCAUUAGUGGUUGCAAAAAAGGUGACAUUCCAAUUCUAGAAUUCUUCUUCACCUCAAGGCUGCAAGUUUCUGUAAAGAGAAGC